AUUGAACGCUGGCGGCAUGCUUUACACAUGCAAGUCGAACGGUAACAGGGUGCUUGCACCGCUGACGAGUGGCGAACGGGUGAGUAAUGCGUCGGAACGUGCCGAGUAGUGGGGGAUAACGCAUCGAAAGGUGUGCUAAUACCGCAUACGUACUGAGGUAGAAAGUGGGGGACCUUCGGGCCUCACGCUAUUCGAGCGGCCGACGUCUGAUUAGCUAGUUGGUGAGGUAAAGGCUCACCAAGGCGACGAUCAGUAGCGGGUCUGAGAAGAUGAUCCGCCACACUGAGACUGAGACACGGCCCAGACUCCUACGGGAGGCAGCAGUGGGGAAUUUUGGACAAUGGGCGCAAGCCUGAUCCAGCCAUGCCGCGUGUCUGAAGAAGGCCUUCGGGUUGUAAGGGACUUUUGUCCGGGAGCAAAUACCCAGUGCUAAUAACGCUGGGGGCUGAGAGUACCGGAAGAAUAAGCACCGGCUAUCUACGUGCCAGCCGCCGCCGUAAGAC
rnacentral:rRNA from 1 species